UUUGCCUAUUUCACUCUUUGCCUGUGCAAAAGAACGAUCAACUUACCACUUGAACAAUCUCUGACUUGCGCUCAUUCUCAGCACGUCGUUUCAAUGUCUCCUCCGUCCGUUUCCUCUUGUCCUAUUAGGGAAAUGAUUGUAAUAAAUGAGUGAUGAUCGUUUUCCUCCAUAGCAAGGAUUUAAUUUAAUUUGGCGAAUGCCUACCUCUUUCUCUUUGGCCUUGUCUUGUUUAAGUUGAAGGGAGAACUUUUUGACCAACUGCUGCUCUUGUUUGGCUGCCAUCUUUUUUCCCCAAGAAGUACGCAGGGGCUUAUCCCUGACCACUGCAGAGAACCUGUACAAAUGAUAAAUGGUCAAAACAAAAACCCGGUUUGGAGACAACGCUUGAUGACAUAUGCAUGGUUCACGGGGUGUUAUCAACGAUGAGGAGUUGUAUUAUAGGCACAAAAACAAAGCAAGAUUGGUGGCGUGCACUAAUGAGCGGGCUCGUGGUGGCUUCCGGGAGUGCCAUGACAACCUGGGCACUGGAGGUCACCCAGGGAGGCGCAGGACAAUGGAAAAAAUAAAGGCAUCCUACCACUGGGCAACAAUGCGAGAGGACGUUAAGAAAUGGUCAAGUUCUUGGACUUUUUGAAAGUUGCCAAAGUCAGUGCUGUCUGACAUCCGAUUCCUCACUGAGGUGGUACUCCAAGAGGGAGAUGAAGCUUACUCAACUCUGGCUCUGGUGUGUUCCACCUUCAGGAACAUAGUGUCCACUGACAGGUUCAGAAGACAGGCACAUUUUCUGUGUCUCAACACAGGCGUCACUACAUGGUAGUAUCCGCCAACUACAGAGCAGAGUUCUACACCAUGUACAGUAUUGGGACCUGCAUGGCAUGUGGUCGGCUCUACAAAGUCUGCACAGGAUAUAUUGGUACUGGGAAAAGAGGCAAACUGGAAGGAAUAUAUUCCGACAGCUACGACGGGGGGUACUGUGAUGACUCUGCCGUCCAAGAUCAUAUGUACAUUUAAGUUGUAAAUAUGGAUACAAUUCCCUGACGAGACUAAUUGUAUGAAGUUGAAGGUCUCAAGAUAAAUACAUCUGCACACCUCUGCUUCUUUCAGAUGCCAUUCACCCCCCCCCCCCCCCUUCCCGUUGAGAGGAGUGGAGAUAUGGCUUGAUGACUGUUGUUUUCAGAGCCUGUAGGAAUACACCUGUGCGAUAUCGCCACUGCAGGUGCCGUGUUCUUCUUGGAAAAAGUCUGCCGAGUCAGGAUCGCUUUAACUCACUUUAUUUAGCAAAGGUUUGGACCAGCAUACAUGAAGCAAAAGGAGGGGAAUUGUACAAACACGCGUGGAGAUACACCUAGUAGGGCAUUCCAAAGGAUGCUUUACCUGGAGCGUUCUAACGCCUCGUGCCCACUACCUCCGUCCGUUGACCGUUCCGUUGGAGCCUUCGGCUCCGUCAAGA